rnacentral:piRNA from 1 species
UACAUCAAUGUAACAAGGAAAGCAGUGAUC